UAAACACGAUCGUACGGUCUAAAUUAAAUUAGGAUGAACAGUUCAGAUUAAUUUUCUCUUUAAACGUGAUCGGACGAUCGAGAUCAAACUUGAUGAAUGGCCCAGAUUUAAGGGAGAUGGAUAUAAAUAUCUCACUUCACACCGAACCCAAACCCUAGUCGCCAUCCCCCCCGACAGAGAAGAAGAACCAGUCGCUGAAGAAGGGAGCCAACCUUUGCCCACCGUUGCCCGUUGUCGCGCCAGAGCCACCUUCGACCGUCAAAAAAGGUAAAAAUUCUCAUAUUCACUUGAAAUUUGAUUUUGAAUACCCCCAUGGCCAAAUCAGAGUAAAAGGAAUAGUGGAUGAACCGAAAAUCGUGGGUAAAGCCCAGCGACGCCACCGCAAAAAAAAACCAAAAAUCGCCUCCGAUGAGCCCCUUCUCAUUUUUCAUUUCAUGCGA
rnacentral:lncRNA from 1 species